UUUAUAGUCUCUUAUGAUAUC
ensembl:piRNA 21ur-9569 ncRNA